UGCAUAGAACUCUACAGCGACAAGGUCUAUCCCAAAAAAGUUUAGGCAGACUCCAAUUGGACAAAAAAUGAUUAGAACGGGAAUUUGAAAAAUAUUGAAUCCUCUUGUAUUGUUGGACAUACAAAACAGCGAUGAACACGUUAAUUGGCCACAUUCCUCCCACAGCUCCGACAGGUGUGGUUUCUGCGCUGGUCUAUGCAGAGCACUCUUUCGGCGCAUGCUUGCCGUUACGGAAGAACGAAAGGAACAAAUCAGGUGCACCCUGACGAUGCCAAAUUUCUUCAUUGCCUCGCUAGUGCAAUCUAACUACAUUACAUGUUACAAACGUCGCCGAAUCCUCAUACAGCAGCUAAUUAUUUCCGAAAGCUGCGGAAGAUGCUGAUGAAUUAAACAUUUUCCUUUGGAAUUAAAAACCGAAAUGCGCAUCAAGGGAGAGAACGGGAAGAUUUACGUUAUUAGGGGGUUGGGAGAGGAAAAAGUUGAAAUGGGUGAUUUGCAGAGCGUUUUCGUCGAUUCAUGAAUCCGGAUCGCAAGAUGAAACAAAAUAGUUCGAAGGGAGAAAAGGGAUCUGAUGGUUUGCCGCUAAAGAAGGAUCGUUCAUUACCCGUUCGGAACCGAUGUCCAUAUUGUAAUAAAGAGUUUGCGGACAAGUACCUGAUGACGACGCACAUUCGAUGGCACACGAGUGAAAAGCCCUUCAAAUGUCUCCCCACUGUUCGAAAACAUUCACUUAAUCCAUAACGCUGAAGAUACACUUCAGGUUGCAUACCCGGGAAAACUCCGUACAAUCUGACGGUGCACCUGCGAACCCCACACAACCAGAUAAUGGUAUAGGACGCGAAGUCGACAUGCUGCCCAAGCACAAAUGUCGAGUAUGUAGCAAGGUCUACCGAUCGGCAAAAAGUUUCCGGUUGCACGAGAAGUUGCAUGCCACCGGGAAACUGUUCGAUUGUCGCGAUUGUGGUAAAAAGUAUAACACAUAUGUGGCCAAAUGCAGGGCUUCUAAUACCGACGUGAAGGAAAAUAUGUACUCGUGUAAAAUCUGCAGCCAAACAUUCAAGCAUCAGCAAAGCGGGGUGUACCACAUGAGCAACAAAAACAAACACAAACGGUUCGACAGAGGUUUUGAGAGAUCUGGAGAUGGACGAAGGAGAGGCGAUUUGCCGAAGCUAAAAUAACUUUCCCGUUCCCAAAUUGUUAAAGCUACCAAGCACAACACCGGGUAACUUGAGCAAUUUUUCCUGAGCAUGUUUUUGGCAAGUGGUGAGAAUAGUGUACGCGUUUAUUGGGUAGUAUUUGGCGCACCAACAUUAGUAGCGUAAAUAUCCAGCGCCAGACGCAGGUUCCGUUUGAUGCAUUCGAUGGAAUCGCUAUCGACAGACUCUUCAUCAUCUCGACUUCCAUGAGCUCAUUCAGUACUUUAUGAUAAAAUAACAAUAGUCAACCCAGGCUACGGUCCGACCAGGAUGUAGAAUUCAACUAGAUACAUUCGACAAUAAUACCACGCAAGACUGCAGUAUACUCAACUGCUUUAUGCUUUUCAAGAGCAGCUGAUUCUUGGUGAACUAUCGGAAAGGAUUCAAAAGAAAUGGCAUUUGCUUACUUUUCAACAUGUAUCAAACAAUUGAAUUCAAAUAGUUUGUACAUUUCCGAUUUAUUUGAGGCAUGAUUUUACUGGAAAGACAAAUACCAACAAUAUCAAAAUAGCGCCGAUUUUUUUUAACGUGGCGAAUGAAUUAUUUAAAGUCACGUAAAUAAAACAAUCAAUCAAUCAGCCGAAUUUCAAACCUUAACUUUUUUUCGUUUUGAUAACAAAUUCUGUCAAAACAAAUCAGUUUCGCGUACGGCGUAUUUUGCUAUCUUCUUCUUCUUCCAAUUUUGUUUAUUUUCCGUCGGCCUAUUUCCGCUACGAGGCCAAACACCGACGCCAGAGAGGUGACACUCCCACUAUCUGGAUUGGAUAUCGACCCAUCAACUCAUGGACCGGGGACCAACGGCUUUACUUCCCUUCCGAAGGAAGGCGUGACCUCAGAUUUUUCUCACCUCUGAAAAAUCUCAACGACCUCGACUGGGAUUGAACCCAGACCAACUGGGGUGGGUGGCGGUCACGCUUACCACCCAACCAUCGGCGCCGUCGCUUUUUUGCUAUCUUGAAUGAGCAAAGCACGUUUGUCAAACUUCUCCAUCAACAAGUUUAACAAAUUUCUCCAUUAACAAGUUUGACAAACUUCUCCAUCAACAAGUUUGAAAAACUUCUCCAUCGACAAGUUUGACAAACUGCAGCGUUACGCUGUUUGAAGUUUUGACAAACUGGUCAGUACACUGUUUGACAAAUAGACAAAUAAUCGCUUUGACAAACACGAAUGAAAAAUUUGGCAAACUGUGUUUGAUCAAAUAAUUGAAGAUCCAGUACACAGCAGUUCAAAUUGAUUUCACGAAAGAUGUCAAAUAUUUGACGUUAUUACAAACAGUGUACUGGUAGCUUUAUUUUUCAUUCGACAUUCUUUUCGCAGAUUUCCACCCUGCCGAAAUCUUCCGAACAGUGUUGCUAUUUUUUUUAAUUGCAAAUGGAUUCUUGUUUCUUUUAUUUUAUGCCUGCAAUAUUUUGUAUCUUGAAUCCAUUAUAUUAAUAAAGGGUACUGUUUUUCCAUGUCACGGGUGUUUAGUAAGGUUUGAUGAAACCAUUUUCUGAUAAAUUUUAGAUUACGGUUUGGUUGCCGUCUUAUUUUUGUUUUAAUUAAUUAACCACGUAUACGGCAAACGUGUGGUAGAUACUUGUUCUACUUUGUCGCAAAAUUUCUGCUUGUUAUUCAUUUUUACUCUUUUAACGAUAAUAUUAUUUGUCAAAGGUAACUACAUUAUUUUCCUAUAAAUAUAACAACACUGCCAAACAUCAUUUCGCUAUCCCUGCAGUAACAUUGCGUACGGUGCAAAAAGUCAGAAUCAACCAAUCAGGAGCUGGAACAUUCUGAGACGUAAAAUUGGAACUAAAACGACCCCCUCUAUACACGCAAAAGUAAAACAACCGACAGAAUAGAUUCUCUUAACUUAAAUUUAGGUACUUUAGAGUUGUGCGUCACUUUCGCACUUACCCAGUUAAACUCAUUCCGGAACCGGUUCGGAUUUCUGAAUGGAGUCAUUAUGGAUUCCAAAUCAAAUGCAGCAACCGAUUCCGACUCAGAAUCGGUUGUUGCAUUUGAUUUGGAAUCCAUACUGACUCCAUUCAGGAUUCUGAAUGGUUUGACCGGGUAU